GGCGCUCAAAAUGACCGAUGCGCAGGUCAAAACCUGGUUCCAGAACCGGCGGACAAAGUGGAGGCGAGGAAUCUGCCUGGGAUUCCGCCUACGGGGCCACAAAGGAAGCCAUGGCCCCACGAUUCUACCACAACAUUUCUGACGCUGGGAAAGGAGUGGGGGAUGCGGCCUUAGACCUUGGAACGCUAAAGAGGGAGCCAGGGCUAGCUCGGGGGUUGGGGGGACU
rnacentral:sRNA from 1 species